UUCCAGGCCCGCUGCCGCGCCUAUCUGGUGCGCAAGGCCUUCCGCCACCGCCUCUGGGCUGUGCUCACCGUGCAGGCCUAUGCCCGGGGCAUGAUCGCCCGCAGGCUGCACCAACGCCUCAGGGCCGAGUACCUGCGGCGCCUCGAGGCUGAGAAAAUGAGGCUGGCGGAGGAAGAGAAGCUUCGGAAGGAGAUGAGCGCCAAGAAGGCCAAGGAGGAGGCCGAGCGCAAGCAUCAGGAGCGCCUGGCCCAGCUGGCUCGUGAGGACGCUGAGCGGGAGCUGAAGGAGAAGGAGGCCGCUCGGCGGAAGAAGGAGCUCCUGGAGCAGAUGGAAAGGGCCCGCCACGAGCCUGUCAAUCACUCAGACAUGGUGGACAAGAUGUUUGGCUUCCUGGGGACUUCAGGUGGCCUGCCAGGCCAGGAGGGCCAGGCACCUAGUGGCUUUGAGGACCUGGAGCGAGGGCGGAGGGAGAUGGUGGAGGAGGACCUGGAUGCAGCCCUGCCCCUGCCUGACGAGGAUGAGGAGGACCUCUCUGAGUAUAAAUUUGCCAAGUUCGCUGCCACCUACUUCCAGGGGACAACCACGCACUCCUACACCCGGCGGCCACUCAAACAGCCACUACUCUACCAUGACGACGAGGGUGACCAGCUGGCAGCCCUGGCGGUCUGGAUCACCAUCCUCCGCUUCAUGGGGGACCUCCCUGAGCCCAAGUACCACACAGCCAUGAGUGAUGGCAGUGAGAAGAUCCCUGUGAUGACCAAGAUUUAUGAGACCCUGGGCAAGAAGACGUACAAGAGGGAGCUGCAGGCCCUGCAGGGCGAGGGCGAGGCCCAGCUCCCCGAGGGCCAGAAGAAGAGCAGUGUGAGGCACAAGCUGGUGCAUUUGACUCUGAAAAAGAAGUCCAAGCUCACAGAGGAGGUGACCAAGAGGCUGCAUGACGGGGAGUCCACAGUGCAGGGCAACAGCAUGCUGGAGGACCGGCCCACCUCCAACCUGGAGAAGCUGCACUUCAUCAUCGGCAAUGGCAUCCUGCGGCCAGCACUCCGGGACGAGAUCUACUGCCAGAUCAGCAAGCAGCUGACCCACAACCCCUCCAAGAGCAGCUAUGCCCGGGGCUGGAUUCUCGUGUCUCUCUGCGUGGGCUGUUUCGCCCCCUCCGAGAAGUUUGUCAAGUACCUGCGGAACUUCAUCCACGGGGGCCCGCCCGGCUACGCCCCGUACUGUGAGGAGCGCCUGAGAAGGACCUUUGUCAAUGGGACACGGACACAGCCGCCCAGCUGGCUGGAGCUGCAGGCCACCAAGUCCAAGAAGCCAAUCAUGUUGCCCGUGACAUUCAUGGAUGGGACCACCAAGACCCUGCUGACGGACUCGGCAACCACGGCCAAGGAGCUCUGCAACGCGCUGGCCGACAAGAUCUCUCUCAAGGACCGGUUCGGGUUCUCCCUCUACAUUGCCCUGUUUGACAAGGUGUCCUCCCUGGGCAGCGGCAGUGACCACGUCAUGGACGCCAUCUCCCAGUGCGAGCAGUACGCCAAGGAGCAGGGCGCCCAGGAGCGCAACGCCCCCUGGAGGCUCUUCUUCCGCAAAGAGGUCUUCACGCCCUGGCACAGCCCCUCCGAGGACAACGUGGCCACCAACCUCAUCUACCAGCAGGUGGUGCGAGGAGUCAAGUUUGGGGAGUACAGGUGUGAGAAGGGCUGAGUGUGCAGUGGCUGCUCGAUGGGCUGGCUUGUUUCUUUGCAUCACUUCAUGUGCCCCUGGGCAGAGUCCAGCUCCAUGCCAGUGCCAAAGGGAUCCAGGAGAAGGAGGACGACCUGGCUGAGCUGGCCUCCCAGCAGUACUUUGUGGACUAUGGCUCUGAGAUGAUCCUGGAGCGCCUCCUGAACCUCGUGCCCACCUACAUCCCCGACCGCGAGAUCACGCCCCUGAAGACGCUGGAGAAGUGGGCCCAGCUGGCCAUCGCCGCCCACAAGAAGGGGAUUUAUGCCCAGAGGAGAACUGAUGCCCAGAAGGUCAAAGAGGAUGUGGUCAAUUAUGCCCGCUUCAAGUGGCCCUUGCUCUUCUCCAGGUUUUAUGAAGCCUACAAAUUCUCAGGCCCCAGUCUCCCCAAGAAUGACGUCAUCGUGGCCGUCAACUGGACGGGUGUGUACUUUGUGGAUGAGCAGGAGCAGGUACUUCUGGAGCUGUCCUUCCCAGAGAUCAUGGCCGUGUCCAGCAGCAGGGGAGCGAAAACGACGGCCCCCAGCUUCACGCUGGCCACCAUCAAGGGGGACGAAUACACCUUCACCUCCAGCAAUGCUGAGGACAUUCGUGACCUGGUGGUCACCUUCCUAGAGGGGCUCCGGAAGAGAUCUAAGUAUGUUGUGGCCCUGCAGGAUAACCCCAACCCCGGUGAGGAGUCAGGCUUCCUCAGCUUUGCCAAGGGAGACCUCAUCAUCCUGGACCAUGACACGGGCGAGCAGGUCAUGAACUCGGGCUGGGCCAACGGCAUCAAUGAGAGGACCAAGCAGCGUGGGGACUUCCCCACCGACAGUGUGUACGUCAUGCCCACUGUCACCAUGCCACCGCGGGACAUUGUGGCCCUGGUCACCAUGACUCCCGACCAGAGGCAGGACGUUGUCCGGCUCUUGCAGCUGCGAACGGCAGAGCCCGAGGUGCGUGCCAAGCCCUACACGCUGGAGGAGUUUUCCUAUGACUACUUCAGGCCCCCACCCAAGCACACGCUGAGCCGUGUCAUGGUGUCCAAGGCCCGAGGCAAGGACCGGCUGUGGAGCCACACGCGGGAACCGCUCAAGCAGGCGCUGCUCAAGAAGCUCCUGGGCAGUGAGGAGCUCUCGCAGGAGGCCUGCCUGGCCUUCAUUGCUGUGCUCAAGUACAUGGGCGACUACCCGUCCAAGAGGACACGCUCCGUCAACGAGCUCACCGACCAGAUCUUUGAGGGUCCCCUGAAAGCCGAGCCCCUGAAGGACGAGGCAUAUGUGCAGAUCCUGAAGCAGCUGACCGACAACCACAUCAGGUACAGCGAGGAGCGGGGUUGGGAGCUGCUCUGGCUGUGCACGGGCCUCUUCCCACCCAGCAACAUCCUCCUGCCCCACGUGCAGCGCUUCCUGCAGUCCCGAAAGCACUGCCCACUCGCCAUCGACUGCCUGCAACGGCUCCAGAAAGCCCUGAGAAACGGGUCCCGGAAGUACCCUCCGCACCUGGUGGAGGUGGAGGCCAUCCAGCACAAGACCACCCAGAUUUUCCACAAGGUCUACUUCCCUGAUGACACUGACGAGGCCUUCGAAGUGGAGUCCAGCACCAAGGCCAAGGACUUCUGCCAGAACAUCGCCACCAGGCUGCUCCUCAAGUCCUCAGAGGGAUUCAGCCUCUUUGUCAAAAUUGCAGACAAGGUCAUCAGCGUUCCUGAGAAUGACUUCUUCUUUGACUUUGUUCGACACUUGACAGACUGGAUAAAGAAAGCUCGGCCCAUCAAGGACGGAAUUGUGCCCUCACUCACCUACCAGGUGUUCUUCAUGAAGAAGCUGUGGACCACCACGGUGCCAGGGAAGGAUCCCAUGGCCGAUUCCAUCUUCCACUAUUACCAGGAGUUGCCCAAGUAUCUCCGAGGCUACCACAAGUGCACGCGGGAGGAGGUGCUGCAGCUGGGGGCACUGAUCUACAGGGUCAAGUUCGAGGAGGACAAGUCCUACUUCCCCAGCAUCCCCAAGCUGCUGCGGGAGCUGGUGCCCCAGGACCUUAUCCGGCAGGUCUCACCUGAUGACUGGAAGCGGUCCAUCGUCGCCUACUUCAACAAGCACGCAGGGAAGUCCAAGGAGGAGGCCAAGCUGGCCUUCCUGAAGCUCAUCUUCAAGUGGCCCACCUUUGGCUCAGCCUUCUUCGAGGUGAAGGUACACCAUGGGCUUCUCAGAGCAGAGGAGGAGGGGAACAGGGCAUUGAGAAAGCACAGAGACUCCUCCCUAGGACUGUGGGAAAGAGCCAUGGCCUUGGACACCUGCCCUGGUGAGGGAAGGAGGGCAGCACCCUCAGCCUUGUCCCAGCUUAGCGUCUUAGCUGGGGUAAGUCCUGGGGACAGAGGGACCAGAAGAAGCUCAGCCUGGCAGUGGAGGCAGACAUGUAAACAGGCUGGGGUAAUGGAGGAUGGCCUGUGUUCUGACACUGGGGAGCCCUCGCCCAGGUGGCAGAGCUUGGGAGGCUCUGCCGGGUGUGAGAAGGCCUCUUAGAGGAGGUGAUAUCUGAGCUUUCCAGGCAGACCCUGGAAAGAGUGCUCCUGGCAGGGGUCCCACAUAGACAAAGGCCUGGAGGUGUGAGAACUCAGGUCUGGGAAGGAAAUCCAAGUAGUGAGGGCAGGAGGCGAGAGUGGGCUGUGGAGAGCAGCAGCUUGGCAAGCAGGUGAGAGGCUGGGUUUCCUGCAGGGGUGGCCUGCCUUGGAGGGUUUUGAACACAGGUGACGUGGCCAGAAAUCCUCUCAGGCUGCGGGUGGAGGAGGGGUCUGAGGGGCACAACAGAGGCAGGAGUGUGGUGAGGAGGCUGGUGUGAGAGGAUACGUAUGGUCUUGUCACACAGCUAGGAUGGGAGGCCUUUUGAGGAGCUUGGCUGUGCGAGGAGAACAGGUAGGUAGCUGGAGGCAGGUGCAGGGUCCAGGAGGCUUUUAAAGAUGGGAGGCCCUUGGGCUGAGAGGGAGGACAAAGCAGAGGAUGGCCUGGGGGACCCAGGAAGGGAUGUGGGGCAGCACUGAGGGCCCAGCGGAGGUGGAAGCCAUAGGUCAUGGCAGGGCCGUCAGUACCAUAUAGGCAACAGGAGAGGCUGACUUUAUCCCAGCUGGGGCCAGGCUUCAUUCCUGUCCCCAAAUGCUUUUCUUGCUCUGGCCCCCCAUCUGAUGCCUUCUCAUCUUUUUUUCUAGCAAACUACGGAGCCAAACUUCCCUGAGAUCCUCCUAAUUGCCAUCAACAAGUAUGGGGUCAGCCUCAUCGAUCCCAAAACGAAGGAUAUCCUCACCACUCAUCCCUUCACCAAGAUCUCCAACUGGAGCAGCGGCAACACCUACUUCCACAUCACCAUCGGGAACUUGGUGCGCGGGAGCAAACUGCUCUGCGAGACGUCACUGGGCUACAAGAUGGAUGACCUCCUGACUUCCUACAUUAGCCAGAUGCUCACAGCCAUGAGCAAACAGCGGGGCUCCAGGAGCGGCAAGUGAACAGUCACGGGGAGGUGCUGGUUCCAUGCCUGCUCUCGAGGCAGCAGUGGGUUCAGGCCCAUCAGCUACCCCUGCAGCUGGGGAAGACUUAUGCCAUCCCGGCAGCGAGGCUGGGCUGGCCAGCCACCACUGACUAUACCAACUGGGCCUCUUAUGUUCUUCCAGUGAGGCAUCUCUCUGGGAUGCAGAACUUCCCUCCAUCCACCCCUCUGGCACCUGGGUUGGUCUAGUCCUAGUUUGCUGUGGCCUUCCCGGUUGUGAGAGCCUGUGAUCCUUAGAUGUGUCUCCUGUUUCAGACCAGCCCCACCAUGCAACUUCCUUUGACUUUCUGUGUACCACUGGGAUAGAGGAAUCAAGAGGACAAUCUAGCUCUCCAUACUUUGAACAACCAAAUGUGCACUGAAUACUCUGAAACCGAAGGGACUGGAUCUGCAGGUGGGAUGAGGGAGACAGACCACUUUUCUAUAUUGCAGUGUGAAUGCUGGGCCCCUGCUCAAGUCUACCCUGAUCACCUCAGGGCAUAAAGCAUGUUUCAUUCUCUG
rnacentral:sRNA from 1 species